GAUACGUUGCAAAAGUUGAUUCACCAAGGUUGUCUAUUGUGCAAGGGCGCUCGUCAACUCUCUGACUUGUCGAGACAAGUGUUGUUCGCCAUUUGGAUUGGAAGAGCUUGGAAGGAAUGCGCCUCCUUGGGCAGUGGAAUGGUGGUAGACUCCGGGCGCGAGAUUUGAGUUGGGAAAUGUCAAAUCCGUGAAAAAAUAUGGUGAGAAUGCCCCCUGCUCGAUGGUAGGUCCGGAUG
rnacentral:lncRNA from 1 species